rnacentral:misc_RNA from 1 species
AACGCAUCUUGCGCUCCUUGAUAUUCCGAGGAGCAUGCCUGUUUGAGUGUCAUUAAAUAUCUCAAAAAGCUUGUGCUUUUUUGGCAUGGGAUUUUUGGACAUUGGGAGUUGCCGGCUGCUGAUAAAGUGGUGGGCUCUUCUGAAAAGCAUUAGUUGAGGAGCUUUGCACUCUAUUGGUGUGAUAAACUAUCUAUGCCAGGAGAUGCUUCAUGAUCCUCUGCUAUCUAAAUGUCUUUAUCAGACAAUAUGAUAGACCUGACCUCAAAUCAGGUAGGACUACCCGCUGAACUUAA